AUUGAACGCUGGCGGCAGGCCUAACACAUGCAAGUCGAACGAGUGGCGGACGGGUGAGUAAUGUCUGGGAAACUGCCUGCUGGAGGGGGAUAACUACUGGAAACGGUAGCUAAUACCGCAUACCAUCGGAUGUGCCCAUAUGGGAUUAGUUAGUAGGUGGGGUAACGGCUCACCUAGGCGACGAUCCCUAGCUGGUCUGAGAGGAUGACCAGCCACACUGGAACGGAGACACGGUCUCGCCUCCGACGGGAGGCAGCAGUGGGUAAUAGUGCGCAAUGAGCGCAAGCCUGAUGCAGCCAAGCCGCGUGUAUGAAGAAGGCCUUCGGGGUGUAGAGUACUUUCAGCGGGGAGGCGUUACCCGCAGAAGAAGCACCGGCUAACUCCGUGCCAGCAGCCGCGGUAAUUC
rnacentral:rRNA from 1 species